rnacentral:rRNA from 1 species
UACAGAGGUCCCAAGCGUUGUUCGGAUUUACUGGGCGUAAAGGGCGCGUAGGCGGCGUAACAAGUCACUUGUGAAAUCUCCGGGCUUAACUCGGAGCGGUCAAGUGAUACUGUUGUGCUAGAGUGCGGAAGGGACUACUGGAAUUCUCGGUGUAGCGGUGAAAUGCGUAGAUAUCGAGAGGAACACCUGCGGCGAAGGCGGGUAGCUGGGCCGACACUGACGCUGAAGCGCGAAAGCUAGGGGGAGCGAACGGG